rnacentral:rRNA from 2 species
UGGGGAAUAUUGGACAAUGGGCGAAAGCCUGAUCCAGCCAUGCCGCGUGUGUGAAGAAGGUCUUCGGAUUGUAAAGCACUUUAAGUUGGGAGGAAGGGCAUUAACCUAAUACGUUAGUGUUUUGACGUUACCGACAGAAUAAGCACCGGCUAACUCUGUGCCAGCAGCCGCGGUAAUACAGAGGGUGCAAGCGUUAAUCGGAAUUACUGGGCGUAAAGCGCGCGUAGGUGGUUUGUUAAGUUGAAUGUGAAAUCCCCGGGCUCAACCUGGGAACUGCAUCCAAAACUGGCAAGCUAGAGUAUGGUAGAGGGUAGUGGAAUUUCCUGUGUAGCGGUGAAAUGCGUAGAUAUAGGAAGGAACACCAGUGGCGAAGGCGACUACCUGGACUGAUACUGACACUGAGGUGCGAAAGCGUGGGGAGCAAACA